CAUCUCAUCACUCACCUGACCAGAUGGAAGAUGAGGCGCUCCAGCGUGCUGAGGUGCGUCCUGCUGAGCUGGUCGAUCACAGAAUACACCCCGCGGAUCACCUCCCGCUUGUCUGGCUGACCUGGAAAGGAAAACAAACACACCCUCAGACCGAGUAGCGUCUUCCCUUCUGAUACUGAUUCUCAGAUGGAAGAGCCUCCGGACAGACAAGCAGAGCCACUGAAGGGGCUGAAUAUAAGCUUACCCAUGGCCCUGAGGAACUCCUCGUACAGCUCAAAGGUCAUGAGAGGGCUGGGCAGGUCACGGAGCCACUGUUUGAGAACGCUGGCAAUGACGUGGAUGUUGUAGUCAUCCAGGUUCACAACGCUCACAUCUGGAACACACAAAGAUACGUUCAGGCUCGGUCCAUCAUCCAGAUGAGGGAGGAGCAGUACUCGCAGUAGGUGGGGAUGCUGUACUGUGUGGACUUGAAGAUGUGGCCGUUGUGUUCUUCCACCUGCAGGGAGGCAGCAGAGACACCAGUCAGCUCAGCUGUUCCCUCCAUGGGCUUGUACUCGGUCAUAAACUCGUCCAGGAAGACCUUGAAGGUGUUGACCCACACCUUCACCGGCGAUUCGCACCAGUCCCUCUGCUCCAGACGCAUGGUCUUCUCCAGGAUGUGCUCGAACAGGGCGUAGAGAUCCUUGUAACGGAUACUCUUCCCAUCAUCCAUCUGGUGAGCUGAACAGAGAUCCUGUGGUGCCUCAAGCAGCUGAGGACAAACAGAGAGAAAAGAGCAGCGAGGACUCACCGCCAGGGCAGUGGAGUAGGAGUUGAAGAUGUUGAUCCUGAACUCCCUCAACGCUUUCUUGAAGACGACGUCCACCAUGGUGUCCUUCUUACCGUCUUCAGACUCCAGGUCGGCGAUCUGAAGGGACAAAAAAGAUUUUCACGUUAACAGCUCAGCUCAUGGAAAAAAAGCAACUGUUUACCAAGACAUCUUUUUAAAGUUGUCUUUAUUGUGGAUGCUGUGCAAUGAAACUCUACUGUAGAAUGAUUAUUCCACCUCAAAAUAAGGUUUAAAUGCAUCUUCUUAGGCAAUUUUAGCACACAAAUAUACAAAAUAUGAAGGUAAUGUACUAUUUUGAAUCUGAUCAUAGCAUCAUCUUACGUAGUAGUAGUAGUUAGAAGUGUAUUAGGACACUAUUCACAUAACAGACACAGAGAGUGGCUGCAUAUUCUUCGUGUUACGUUUACGACUUUUAUACAUGAAUUAUAACAUUAUCUGGAUGACAGAGGAUUUUAUGAGUUUAAUUUUAUGAAAUUCAUUUAUAAGUGCUCAGCAGCUGUGUGAUCUCAACAAGCAAAGUUCUGUUAAGCUCAGUUGUGUUGGGGUGGCGCUGGAAAUCUCACAGACAGAUAUCUCAAAACCGGGACGAAUAACACCACAAUUAUGUCCUUAAAUUUGGGGGAACUGCCCCUUUAAGAUUUGGGGGUUCUAUUGUAGGUCUAGAACAAUGAAGGAGUGCACCUUUAAACUACGCAUUCAAGAUUACUUUGAACCCUGAGUUUCAGGUAAUAUGAUGCAACACUCUUACAGGGCUGGCAGAAACUCACUAUACUGUGAGCGCGCACGCACGCACGCAUUCUCCUCCGGGCCGCAGGGAAGAGCGCCAUAAAGGGCAAGCUGUGGAUCACAAGCCUAUCGGUGUGGGCUAUUAGUAACCUUAGAGCCCCUGACCUGUGACUAGGGUCUUGUUCUGAUUCCCACCCACACGCACUCACAGACAGAGUCGGAGGGGACACUCACAGAAAAGACAGUUUAUGAUGAAGAAGAGCUUUGUCAUGCACUCAAAAGAGUAGAUAUAUGUUUUUUGUUGUUGUUAAUGUAUGUGCCAACAUAGAGCAGGGAGCAGAGCAUUCACAACUUCACCUUGAUGAACCUAUUUCACUGCUUUUGCCUUUAAUGACUGUUGUUUCCUGACCUGCCUGCAACACACAUGCACACUCAACACACACACACACACACACACACACACAGGUUUGCCCUCUGACCUUCUUCAUGAGGAAGUCGUUCAUGCUGCGGUAGUCAUGGGCCGAGCUGAGGAUGUGCAGUGCGUCGUUUUGCCACUGGGCGGGUUCCAGAGCGAUGCUGCUGAUCUUCACACUGCGACGCCUCCUCAUCUUAGGAGACGGCUCCUUGUUCUCCUUACUGUCCCUGGCCCCCAGGGAGGGAGCUGCCUCCAAAUCUGGACUGUGAGGAGGAGAAGAAGGGCCUUCUGGGAGGAUGGACACAAAAAUGGAGAGAUGGUGGAUUACUAAAAAAACGAUUCUUGUUAAAUCAAGAUACUUAAAUUUGCAUUAAUUCUUCAUAAAUCAUAUUUUACCUUAUUAAAUAAUAUUCUAUGGUAUACUG